UCCUAGUUAACCUAGGCAGUCUCACUAGAGUUCCCAACCGAAUUGCUGGCAACUAGUGAUAAGGGUUGCGCUCGUUGCGGGACUUAACCCAACACCUCACGGCACGAGCUGACGACAGCCAUGCAGCACCUAUGCAGCAGUCCUUGCGGAAGACUCCCUUUCAGGAGCUGUCCACUGCAUUUCGAGCCUGGGUAAGGUUCUGCGCGUUGCAUCGAAUUAAACCACAUGCUCCACUGCUUGUGCGGGCCCCCGUCAAUUCUUUUGAGUUUCACCCUUGCGAGCGUACUCCUCAGGCGGUAUACUUAUCGCGUUAGCUACGACACAGUCGGGGUUGAGUCCAACUACAUCAAGUAUACAUCGUUUACGGCAAGGACUAC
rnacentral:misc_RNA from 1 species